AUUGAACGCUGGCGGAAUGCUUUACACAUGCAAGUCGAACGGCAGCACGGGAGCUUGCUCCUGGUGGCGAGUGGCGAACGGGUGAGUAAUGCGUCGGAACGUACCGAGUAAUGGGGGAUAACGCAGCGAAAGCUGUGCUAAUACCGCAUACGCCCUGAGGGGGAAAGUGGGGGAUCGCAAGACCUCACGUUAUUCGAGCGGCCGACGUCUGAUUAGCUAGUUGGUGGGGUAAUGGCCUAUCAAGGCGACGAUCAGUAUCGGGUCUGAGAGGAUGAUCCGCCACACUGGAACUGAGACACGGUCCAGACUCCUACGGGAGGCAGCAGUGGGGAAUUUUGGACAAUGGGGGCAACCCUGAUCCAGCCAUUCCGCGUGAGUGAAGAAGGCCUUCGGGUUGUAAAGCUCUUUCAGCUGGAACGAAACGGUACGCUCUAACAUAGCGUGCUAAUGACGGUACCGGCAGAAGAAGCACCGGCUAACUACGUGCCAGCAGCCGCGGUAAUACGUAGGGUGCGAGCGUUAAUCGGAAUUACUGGGCGUAAAGCGUGCGCAGGCGGAUUGUUAAGCAAGAUGUGAAAUCCCCGGGCUUAACCUCGGAAUGGCAUUUUGAACUGGCAGUCUAGAGUGCGUCAGAGGGGGGUGGAAUUCCACGUGUAGCAGUGAAAUGCGUAGAGAUGUGGAGGAACACCAAUGGCGAAGGCAGCCCCCUGGGAUGACACUGACGCUCAUGUACGAAAGCGUGGGUAGCAAACAGGAUUAGAUACCCUGGUAGUCCACGCCCUAAACGAUGUCAACUGGUUGUUGGG
rnacentral:rRNA from 1 species